UUCACGAGGUGCAUGUGGUUGCUUGCGUUAAACGUAUAAACUGUUAAAUUAGAUGGCGACUCUGCAUUAAACGUAUUUAUUUAAUUAAUCGGCGAUCAUAUUUCACCAGAGGACUAAGAUAAAACAACUCGAUUUAAAAUAUGAGCAGUUUUAGUGGAUCUGACGUUGAGGGAAAAAGUAUUUCGCUUUUUGUUUGGAGAUGAACGAGACAACACGAGGCACAGCGACAUAAAUAUGACCAACCAGAUCCCAAGUAGACAGGAACAAAUGAAGAUAUAGCGCAUAGAAAGACUUAUUCUUGGUGAUCAACUGCUAUUGACAUUUUUGAAUCGGGACAAUUGUGGAGUGAUUCGGAAGAAAAACAUUUGCAACACAUCCAUUCCAGGAGCACAGUGGCCCCCAACUGAAAAUUUUAGGGGCGCAACCAGAAAAUUAAGGGGCACACACGAGUGCUCUGACAGAUAAAACUGACACGCUUGAUGAGGACACAGUCAAAGCUUUAAAAGACCGUGUGAUAAAGCAGUCUUCAAUUACUACGGUGUCUGAAUUGCAAGAAGAAUUGACCCUCCACUUAAACAUGUGAUAUCUAAACUGUUUUGUGUUUUAGUUCAGCUUUUUAUAGGUUUAUCUUAAGUUGGUUAAAGGCGGAGUGCACUAUUUUUGAAAGCCAAUGUUAACAUUUGAAAUUACCUAAACAAACAUGCCUCUACCCCAAUAGAAUCUGGACCUUCUUUUGAUAGAGCCACCACACACAUACGCAACCCCGGCAAGGAUGUCGGUUAGUAGACACGCCCCUUACUGCUGGUUGGCUACAAGUGUGUUUUGGUAGUCGGCCCAAUUUCCUUUUCCAAAGCGUUUUUCAAACAUUGUGCACUCCGUCUUUAAAUUGCACUUAAAACAUUUUUUUUUCAGUAACUUUUUAUGCAGAGAAUUACAUUAUGAUUAUUAUAUAAUCAUUGCUUAUGAAUAUUUAGUGAUUGCAUAUUCAUAGUGUACUUUUCAUUAAUACAUUUAAUGUUAAUGUUGUACAAUUUGAUAGAAGUAGCUCUGUAAUUGCAUUUCUCUGAUAUUUGUUUUAUAUUGUUUCUCUUUGGUCAAGAGAUUAUGUAUGUCUCUGUGCUUGAUUAAUUUACUUUAGAUAUUUUUGUAAUGUACACAACACAAUAUGAAGUAUAUUAAAUUGUUCUGUAUUCAAAAUAUGUGUAUGUGUCUUAAUAUUUAAUGAUUUUAAUAUAACAUUUUAAAUAUUAAAAACAGCUUUAUAAUAAAAUAGUAGUGUAAUGCUAAUACAUUUCUAUUAAUGUAAUGCUAGUAUAUUUCUAAUAUGCUGAAGUACUAUUAAAGUGUUCUUAAAGCACAGUUAAAUUAAGCUUUAAAUGUAUUCUAACUGUAUUUUUAAGUGUAUGAGAAGUGCAUUUCAAAUGAAUUUUAAAGAAGUACACUUAAAUUGCACUAAAUA